rnacentral:rRNA from 1 species
UACGGAGGGUGCAAGCGUUGUCCGGAUUUAUUGGGUUUAAAGGGUGCGUAGGCGGAUUAGUAAGUCAGUGGUGAAAGCCCAUCGCUUAACGGUGGAAUUGCCAUUGAUACUGCUAGUCUUGAGUAUGGUUGAGGUGGGCGGAAUGUGUCAUGUAGCGGUGAAAUGCUUAGAUAUGACCCAGAACACCAAUUGCGAAGGCAGCUCGCUAAGCCAUAACUGACGCUGAUGCACGAAAGCGUGGGGAGCAAACAGG